rnacentral:rRNA from 1 species
AUUGAACGCUGGCGGCAUGCCUUACACAUGCAAGUCGAACGGCAGCACGGGGCAACCUGGUGGCGAGUGGCGAACGGGUGAGUAAUGCAUCGGAACGUACCUUUCAGUGGGGGAUAACGUAGCGAAAGUUACGCUAAUACCGCAUAUUCUGUGAGCAGGAAAGCAGGGGAUCGCAAGACCUUGCGCUGAUUGAGCGGCCGAUGUCAGAUUAGCUAGUUGGUGUGGUAAAGGCUCACCAAGGCGACGAUCUGUAGCGGGUCUGAGAGGAUGAUCCGCCACACUGGAACUGAGACACGGUCCAGACUCCUACGGGAGGCAGCAGUGGGGAAUUUUGGACAAUGGGGGCACACCUGAUCCAGCCAUGCCGCGUGAGUGAAGAAGGCCUUCGGGUUGUAAAGCUCUUUCGGCCGGGAAGAAAUCGCACGGGCUAAUACCCUGUGUGGAUGACGGUACCGGAAUAAGAAGCACCGGCUAACUACGUGCCAGCCGCCGCCGUAACAC